rnacentral:rRNA from 1 species
UUCUAUUAGAUUUAAUUAAUAGUAAAAUCUGCUCAAUGACAUUAAAUAGCCGCUAUAAGUGCUAAGGUAGCAUAAUCAUUCGUCUUUUAAUUGAAGACUAGAACAAAAGAUUUAACAUUUCAAUCUAUUUCUUAAUCUUAUCUUUUUAAAUUUAUCUAAAAGUAACAAUUCUUUUAUAAAAAAGAAAGACGAUAAGACCCUAUCGAACUUUACUUUAGUUAAACUGGGGUAGUUUAUAAAAUAAAAUUUUUAAUAAUAUAUAAUAUUAAUAAAAACCUAAUAAAAUUAAAUAAUAAUUAAGUUACCGUAGGGAUAACAGCGCAAUUAAUAUUUAUAGAUCUUAUACAAAUAUUAGAUUACGACCUCGAUGUUGAAUUAUAACCUAACUUACGCAAAAGUAAAUAAAGGAAGUCUGUUCGACUAAAUAAAAAAUUACA